rnacentral:rRNA from 1 species
GCCCUUGAAAAAAUCAAAGGUGAUACCUGCCCAGUGAUUUUAAAAAAAAAUAAUAAUAAUAUUUUAAUAAAAUUAAAAGGAUGCGGUAACUCUAACUGUAAUAAUGUAGCAUAAUCAUUCGCCAUUUAAUUUGUGGAUAGUAUGAAUGGUAAAACGAAUAUUACUCUGUCUUAAAAAUAAAAUUCAUAAAAUUGAAAUAAUAGUGAAGAUGCUAUUUAAAAUUGUAAGACGAAAAGACCCUAUAGAGCUUAACUAUAUCUUUUAAAAUUAAAAGAAUGGUAGUUUAGUUGGGGCGACUAUUUUUUAAAAAAAACGAAAAUAAGCAAAAUUUAAUAAUUAAAAAAUUUACUGUAUAAGAAACUAUUUUAACAGUUAUAAAAAUAGGCUAUAAUGACCUGUUGUUAUUUUAUAAAAAAAAAAACAACAAUUAAUGAAUAAAAGCUACCUUAGGGAUAACAGAAUAAUUUUAUUUGAGAGACCUCAUCGAAAAUAAAGUUUAUCACCUCUAUGUUGAAUUAAGAUAUCCUAAUAAAGCAAAAAUUAUUAAAGGUAGGUCUGUUCGACCUUUAAAAUCUU